CGAACGCUGGCGGCAUGCCUAACACAUGCAAGUCGAACGAGACCUUCGGGUCUAGUGGCGCACGGGUGCGUAACGCGUGGGAACCUGCCCUUAGGUUCGGAAUAACUCCCCGAAAGGGGUGCUAAUACCGGAUAAUGUCUUCGGACCAAAGAAUUAUCGCCUUUGGAUGGGCCCGCGUUGGAUUAGCUAGUUGGUAGGGUAAAAGCCUACCAAGGCGACGAUCCAUAGCUGGUCUGAGAGGAUGAUCAGCCACACUGGGACUGAGACACGGCCCAGACUCCUACGGGAGGCAGCAGUGGGGAAUAUUGGACAAUGGGCGAAAGCCUGAUCCAGCAAUGCCGCGUGAGUGAUGAAGGCCUUAGGGUUGUAAAGCUCUUUUACCCGGGAUGAUAAUGACAGUACCAGGAGAAUAAGCUCCGGCUAACUCCGUG
rnacentral:rRNA from 1 species